UACAGGGGGGGCAAGCGUUGUUCGGAAUUAUUGGGCGUAAAGAGCUCGUAGGCGGCUUGUCGCGUCGGAUGUGAAAGCCCGGGGCUUAACUCCGGGUCUGCAUUCGAUACGGGCAGGCUAGAGUUCGGUAGGGGAGAUCGGAAUUCCUGGUGUAGCGGUGAAAUGCGCAGAUAUCAGGAGGAACACCGGUGGCGAAGGCGGAUCUCUGGGCCGAUACUGACGCUGAGGAGCGAAAGCGUGGGGAGCGAACAGG
rnacentral:rRNA from 1 species